GAAGACUGCAGUAGGUAAUGAUAGCUUAAACUUGGGAAAUGUCCUUCUUCAGAGACAGCGUCACGGACAUUUUGGAGAGGAUCAGAUUACUCUACAGCUGCUUUCCCUGGUGGACCUGAGGAGGCACACCCCUGAGCCAGGACUUUAAGGGAGAGGGUAGAACAACCUAGAAGCUCAGAAGGGAUAUGGUUCCUGUUUGCCUAUUUCCAUCCACAACUCUGCCAGAGACGAAAGCAGUGUUUGAAACAAUUCACCAAGAUUUCCAUCUGGAAUCAUCAAGAAUGGAAUUGAUCAAAUUCCUUAAGAAAUUUACUUAAAGUCAUGAUUUUGACAGCCUAGUGCUACCUGGAAAAGGGACAGCAGCAGCCUGGAGCAGUUUUCUAGCUAACAAGAAUUUUGUUAGCUAUGUGGCCACCUAGUGGCUCUUCCAUGGAUGUCGCUGAUGCAUUGUCAGGUACACAGACAAUUGCCCACUAAUAAAGAAGUUAUUAUCUUUCUUGGAA
ensembl:lncRNA ADAM7-AS2 ADAM7 antisense RNA 2